CGGACACAACAUCUUUGUUUGUAUGUGGUGCUGAGGAUCGAACCCGGGCCGCACGCAUGCCAGGCAAGCCCGCUACCGCUUGAGCCACAUCCCCAGCCCAUAAUUUGUUUUGUGUUUUGUUUGGGUACUGGAGAUUGAACCCAGAGAUACUCUACCUCUGAGCUACAUUCCCAGUCCCCCAGACUUUUUUAUUUAUUUAUAUAUUUGUUUUUUGAGACAGGGCUUCACUGGGUUGCUGAGGCUGGCCUGAAACUCCUGAUCCCCCUGCCUCAGCCUCCCGAGCUGCUGGCAUUACAGGUGUACACCCCCGUGCCUGACAGUUUUUGAGACAGUGCUUUGCUAAAUUGCUGAGGCUAGCCUUGAACUUGUGAUCCUCCUGCCUCAGCCUCCAUAGUUGCUGGGAUUACGGGCAUGCACUGCCUUACAUGACUUAAAACAAAAAAUUUCCACAUUUGAUACAAAAGGACGUGUGGCAUCUAAUGUGUUAGAAACUGAGUUGGACAUUGCACACCCUGUGACUCCAACCCCCACCCUCCCCAAGAGCCAGAACAUGACCAAUCAAUCCCUUUGCAGAUUCCUGGGUCCUUCUUUGUGCCAUCUCCAUUCCCCUCAAACAGGCUGCCAUUCGAAUUUUGUACUUUACCUUCCUUAGACUUGAGACAGGUUCUUCCUAAAUUGGCCAGACUAGCUUCGAACUUGGACUCUCCCUGCUUCGCCCUCCUGAGUUGCUGGGGUACAGGUGUGUGCCACCAUGCCUAGCCUCCUCCCAUGAUUUUUGAUAUAUUCGUCAUGGGUAUGCAUGGCCAAAC
rnacentral:lncRNA from 1 species